UGCCAGCCGCCGCGGUAAUACAGAGGGUGCGAGCGUUAAUCGGAAUUACUGGGCGUAAAGGGUGCGUAGGUGGAUAUGAAGGUCGGGUGUGAAAUCCCCAGGCUCAACCUGGGAAUUGCAUUCGAAACUUCAUGUCUAGAGUAUAGUAGAGGGAAGUGGAAUUUCCGGUGUAGCGGUGAAAUGCGUAGAUAUCGGAAGGAACAUCAGUGGCGAAGGCGACUUCCUGGACUAAUACUGACACUGAGGCACGAAAGCGUGGGUAGCGAACAGGAUUAGAUA
rnacentral:rRNA from 1 species